rnacentral:rRNA from 1 species
UAAAAUUGUAAAUUUUUUAUUAGUAGGUAUUGCAUACCGUUUAAAGAGAAUUUUAUAAAAAUAAAAUAUAGAAUUAAAAGGUAGAAUUUUUAUUAUUUUUAUUGUUUCAUAAUAAAAAUUAUAAAAUUUAGGGUUGAAAAGUCGACUUUUAAGAUAUCUGUUUGUUUUGUAGGUUUAUUAGAAAUUUAUAUAAAAAGAAAUUUGUGUAUAAAAAGUAAAAGUUGAAGUAUUUGUUUGUUUAGUUUUAUAACUGUUUAUAAUUAUUUAUUUAAAUUAAUGUUAAGAAAAAAUAAAAUUUAUUAAGUUGUUAAUAAUUGAAUUAUUUUAAAAUAAGUAUGUUAAUUAAAUUAUUUAUUGUUUUAUAAUUUAACAAAAUAACUAAAAAUUUAAUCAAAUGUUUAUUAAAGACUUAGACUUUUAGAUAAAGUUUGCUUCUGCCCAAUGAUUAUUAUUAAAUGGCAGUCUUAGCGUGAGGACAUUAAGGUAGCAAAAUAAUUUGUGCUUUUAUUGAGUUCCAGUAUGAAUGAAGUUAUUGGUUAAUUAUUUUUUUGUUUUGUAAAAGAAUUUAAUUUAAUAUAAAAAAAUAUUGUUAUAGUAACACAAAGAUAAGUCUUCGGAAAUUCUGUUUUAAAAUUAAUUUUAUUUUAUUAAUUUUAAAAAUUUUCUAGGGCAGAAUCUUAUAUAAUUUAUAUAAUCUAUUGAUAAAUAUAAGAAUUACUCCGGAGUUAACAGAAAAUCAUACCCAAUCUAGUUCUUAUAGUAAGGUAAGUUUUACAUCGAUGUUGUAUUUGAGUUUAUUAAAAAAGGAGAAAAUUUAAGUUUUAAGACUGUUCUUCUUUUAAUUAAUUUAACGUGAUAUUAGUUUAAUUCAUUGUGAGAUAGAAUUGUUUAUCUUGGUUGUUAUUAAGUAAAAGUUUUAAUAGUACGAAAGGAAAAUUAAAAAAAGUUUUAAACUUUUAGAAGAAUGAAAUUCUUU